rnacentral:misc_RNA from 1 species
UCCGGUUUGUCACCGGCAGUCUCGCAUGAGUCCCCAACUUAAUGCUGGCAACAUGCGACGAGGGUUGCGCUCGUUGCGGGACUUAACCCAACAUCUCACGACACGAGUUGACGACAGCCAUGCACCACCUGUGACCGUGCCCCGAAGGGAAACCGUGUUUCCACGGCGGUCACGGACAUGUCAAGCCCAGGUAAGGUUCUUCGCGUUGCGUCGAAUUAAACCACAUGCUCCGCUGCUUGUGCGGGCCCCCGUCAAUUCUUUUGAGUUUUAGCCUUGCGGCCGUACUCCCCAGGCGGGACACUUAACGCGUUGACUGCGGCACAGAGGGAUUCGACUCCCCCCACACCUAGUGUCCAUCGUUUACGGCUAGGACUAC